UGGCGCACGGGUGCGUAACACGUAGCUGACCUGCCCUUCGCAGGGGGAUAACACAGCGAAAGUUGUGCUAAUACCGCGUAGGCUGGUGGGGCUUAGAAGCCCAUCAGUAAAGCGAAUGCGGCGAAGGAGGGGGCUGCGGUCCAUCAGCUCGCUGGUGAGGUAACGGCUCACCAGGGCGACGACGGAUAGGGGGCCUGAGAGGGUGACCCCCCACACUGGAACUGAGACACGGUCCAGACUCCUACGGGAGGCAGCAGUAAGGAAUAUUGCACAAUGGGCGCAAGCCUGAUGCAGCAACGCCGCGUGAGGGAUGAAGGGUUUCGGCUCGUAAACCUCUUUUCUGUGUGAAGAGCAAGGACGGUAGCACAGGAAUAAGUCUCGGCUAACUACGUGCCAGCAGCCGCGGUAAAACGUAGGAGGCGAGCGUUAUCCGGAAUUACUGGGCGUAAAGCGCACGUAGGCGGCGCUGCAAGUGGUGCGUGAAAGCUCCCGGCUCAACUGGGAGAGGCCGUACCAAACUGCGGUGCUAGAGACAGAUAGAGGUCGACAGAAUUCCGGGUGGAGUGGUGAAAUGCGUAGAGAUCCGGAGGAAUACCAGAGGCGAAGGCGGUCGGCUGGGUCUGUUCUGACGCUGAGGUGCGAAAGUGUGGGGAGCGAACGGGAUUAGAAACCCCGGUAGUCCACACCGUAAACGAUGCAUACUAGUUGUUAGGUGCCUACGGGCGCUGAGUGACGAAGCCAACGCGUUAAGUAUGCCGCCUGGGGAGUACGGUCGCAAGGCUAAAACUCAAAGGAAUUGACGGGGGCCCGCACAAGCAGCGGAGCGUGUGGUUUAAUUCGAGGCUACGCGAAGAACCUUACCUGGGCUUGACAUGAUAGUAGUACCCUGGUGGAAACAUCGGGGGACCUUCGGGAGCUAUCACAGGUGCUGCAUGGCUGUCGUCAGCUCGUGCCGUGAGGUGUUCGGUUAAGUCUGAAAACGAGCGCAACCCCGGGCGUUAGUUACAAGUGUCUAACGAGACUGGCCGGGGAAACUGGGAGGAAGGUGGGGAUGACGUCAAGUCAGCAUGGCCUUUAUGUCCAGGG
rnacentral:rRNA from 1 species